UUAUUGAGUGGUACGAGUCGUGGAACAUUGGCUAACCAUGGUUUACAAGUGGUACGAGUCGUGGAACAUUGGCUAACCAUGGUUUACAAGUGGUACGAGUCGUGGAACAUUGGCUAACCAUGGUUUACAAGUGGUACGAGUCGUGGAACAUUGGCUAACCAUGGUUUACAAGUGGUACGAGUCGUGGAACAUUGGCUAACCAUGGUUUACAAGUGCUACGAGUCGUGGAACCUUGGCUAACCAUGGUUUACAAGUGGUACGAGUCGUGGAACAUUGGCUAACCAUGGUUUACAAGUGGUACGAGUCGUGGAACAUUGGCUAACCAUGGUUUACAAGUGGUACGAGUCGUGGAACAUUGGCUAACCAUGGUUUACAAGUGGUACGAGUCGUGGAACAUUGGCUAACCAUGGUUUACAAGUGGUACGAGUCGUGGAACAUUGGCUAACCAUGGUUUACAAGUGGUACGAGUCGUGGAACAUUGGCUAACCAUGGUUUACAAGUGGUACGAGUCGUGGAACAUUGGCUAACCAUGGUUUACAAGUGGUACGAGUCGUGGAACAUUGGCUAACCAUGGUUUACAAGUGCUACGAGUCGUGGAACCUUGGCUAACCAUGGUUUACAAGUGGUACGAGUCGUGGAACAUUGGCUAACCAUGGUUUACAAGUGGUACGAGUCGUGGAACAUUGGCUAACCAUGGUUUACAAGUGGUACGAGUCGUGGAACAUUGGCUAACCAUGGUUUACAAGUGGUAUUUUGCCUGUCAUUAAGUUCACUUGGUUGUGAUUGGUAAAAUUAUGCCAGAACAGUGUGGUAACCGAACCGAACGAUCUAGCUUUUAAAGUGAGCAUAUACUCACUGUGAUGAUCUUAUGAGAUUGCUGCCAGCACCAAAGGGAGUGACCAGGUACAGUGAAAUACACAAGAACAGUUAGGAAAGUCCUACAAGACAUAGAAGUCAUCAAAUUAUUCAAAAUUGUUCAAAAGGACAGAAUCUCAGAAAUAUAAAUCAAUCAUAUCACCUUUGCUAUGUGUACUGUAAAAGUCAUAACUGUGGAGCUGACAUUCAAUUCAUUCGAGUUUUGGCAAAGGGGCAGUUAGUAAUAGUGACAGUAACAGCUUACUUACAGGGUAGUUAUAAAUAGUGACUUGAACAGGAGCUAAGAUGGCAGCAUGUGUUGCUGUACUUUUACCUGCUAGCUCCCCUCGAUGUUUCACUCUGAAGUAAAUACAACAAAUGAAAAUUCACCAGAUUUAUUUCACACUACAUUGUAAUGACUUCUUGUUGCUUUUACUGGAUCGAGACAAAGGAAAUAUCUAGGAUCAGGGAGCAUUGUUUUUAGCAAAAUUGUGGGACUGAAAAAUCACUGUGUUUGGGAAAGCUCCUCUGCGGAGAUUUUGGCAUUUUUUUUUUGUUAUACCUUUAUGGAAAAUAGCAUCAUUAAAUCAUCUCCACCCAAAUUCUUCCAUAUUUCACCUAUUCUCAUUCAUGAAAGAAUUAGAGAGAAUUGAUGAAUUACUGAACCAAUCACUGAUUCUUUUAUUAUAUGUUUGAUGUGGAAAUAAAAUAUUGAACAUACUCACA